GGGUUGUGAGGUUAAGCGACUAAGCGUACACGGUGGAUGCCCUGGCAGUCAGAGGCGAUGAAGGACGUGCUAAUCUGCGAAAAGCGCCGGCGAGGUGAUAUGAACCUUUGACCCGGCGAUGUCCGAAUGGGGAAACCCAGUGCAAUUCGUUGCACUAUCGUUAACUGAAUACAUAGGUUAACGAGGCGAACCGGGGGAACUGAAACAUCUAAGUACCCCGAGGAAAAGAAAUCAACCGAGAUUCCCCCAGUAGCGGCGAGCGAACGGGGAGCAGCCCAGAGUCUGAAUCAGCGUGUGUGUUAGUGGAAGCGUCUGGAAAGUCGCACGAUACAGGGUGAAAGUCCCGUACACGAAAAUGCACAUGCUGUGAACUCGAAGAGUAGGGCGGGACACGUGGUAUCCUGUCUGAAUAUGGGGGGACCAUCCUCCAAGGCUAAAUACUCCUGACUGACCGAUAGUGAACCAGUACCGUGAGGGAAAGGCGAAAAGAACCCCGGCGAGGGGAGUGAAAAAGAACCUGAAACCGUGUACGUACAAGCAGUGGGAGCACCCUUCGGGGUGUGACUGCGUACCUUUUGUAUAAUGGGUCAGCGACUUAUAUUCUGUAGCAAGGUUAACCGCAUAGGGGAGCCGAAGGGAAACCGAGUCUUAACUGGGCGUUAAGUUGCAGGGUAUAGACCCGAAACCCGGUGAUCUAGCCAUGGGCAGGUUGAAGGUUGGGUAACACUAACUGGAGGACCGAACCGACUAAUGUUGAAAAAUUAGCGGAUGACCUGUGGCUGGGGGUGAAAGGCCAAUCAAACCGGGAGAUAGCUGGUUCUCCCCGAAAGCUAUUUAGGUAGCGCCUCGUGAACUCAUCUUCGGGGGUAGAGCACUGUUUCGGCUAGGGGGUCAUCCCGACUUACCAACCCGAUGCAAACUGCGAAUACCGAAGAAUGUUAUCACGGGAGACACACGGCGGGUGCUAACGUCCGUCGUGAAGAGGGAAACAACCCAGACCGCCAGCUAAGGUCCCAAAGUCAUGGUUAAGUGGGAAACGAUGUGGGAAGGCCCAGACAGCCAGGAUGUUGGCUUAGAAGCAGCCAUCAUUUAAAGAAAGCGUAAUAGCUCACUGGUCGAGUCGGCCUGCGCGGAAGAUGUAACGGGGCUAAACCAUGCACCGAAGCUGCGGCAGCGACGCUUGUGCGUUGUUGGGUAGGGGAGCGUUCUGUAAGCCGUCGAAGGUGGCCUGUGAGGGCUGCUGGAGGUAUCAGAAGUGCGAAUGCUGACAUAAGUAACGAUAAAGCGGGUGAAAAGCCCGCUCGCCGGAAGACCAAGGGUUCCUGUCCAACGUUAAUCGGGGCAGGGUGAGUCGACCCCUAAGGCGAGGCCGAAAGGCGUAGUCGAUGGGAAACAGGUUAAUAUUCCUGUACUUGGUGUUACUGCGAAGGGGGGACGGAGAAGGCUAUGUUAGCCGGGCGACGGUUGUCCCGGUUUAAGCAUGUAGGCGGAGGUUCCAGGUAAAUCCGGUACCUUUUAACGCUGAGGUGUGAUGACGAGGCACUACGGUGCUGAAGUAACAAAUGCCCUGCUUCCAGGAAAAGCCUCUAAGCUCCAGGUAACACGAAAUCGUACCCCAAACCGACACAGGUGGUCAGGUAGAGAAUACCAAGGCGCUUGAGAGAACUCGGGUGAAGGAACUAGGCAAAAUGGUGCCGUAACUUCGGGAGAAGGCACGCUGACAUGUAGGUGAAGCCCCUGCGGGUGGAGCUGAAGUCAGUCGAAGAUACCAGCUGGCUGCAACUGUUUAUUAAAAACACAGCACUGUGCAAACACGAAAGUGGACGUAUACGGUGUGACGCCUGCCCGGUGCCGGAAGGUUAAUUGAUGGGGUUAUCCGUAAGGAGAAGCUCUUGAUCGAAGCCCCGGUAAACGGCGGCCGUAACUAUAACGGUCCUAAGGUAGCGAAAUUCCUUGUCGGGUAAGUUCCGACCUGCACGAAUGGCGUAAUGAUGGCCAGGCUGUCUCCACCCGAGACUCAGUGAAAUUGAACUCGCUGUGAAGAUGCAGUGUACCCGCGGCAAGACGGAAAGACCCCGUGAACCUUUACUAUAGCUUGACACUGAACAUUGAGCCUUGAUGUGUAGGAUAGGUGGGAGGCUUUGAAGCGUGGACGCCAGUCUGCGUGGAGCCAACCUUGAAAUACCACCCUUUAAUGUUUGAUGUUCUAACCUGGCGCCGUGAUCCGGCGUGGGGACAGUGUCUGGUGGGUAGUUUGACUGGGGCGGUCUCCUCCUAAAGAGUAACGGAGGAGCACGAAGGUUGGCUAAUCCUGGUCGGACAUCAGGAGGUUAGUGCAAUGGCAUAAGCCAGCUUGACUGCGAGCGUGACGGCGCGAGCAGGUGCGAAAGCAGGUCAUAGUGAUCCGGUGGUUCUGAAUGGAAGGGCCAUCGCUCAACGGAUAAAAGGUACUCCGGGGAUAACAGGCUGAUACCGCCCAAGAGUUCAUAUCGACGGCGGUGUUUGGCACCUCGAUGUCGGCUCAUCACAUCCUGGGGCUGAAGUAGGUCCCAAGGGUAUGGCUGUUCGCCAUUUAAAGUGGUACGCGAGCUGGGUUUAGAACGUCGUGAGACAGUUCGGUCCCUAUCUGCCGUGGGCGCUGGAGAAUUGAGGGGGGCUGCUCCUAGUACGAGAGGACCGGAGUGGACGCAUCACUGGUGUUCGGGUUGUCAUGCCAAUGGCAUUGCCCGGUAGCUACAUGCGGAAGAGAUAAGUGCUGAAAGCAUCUAAGCACGAAACUUGCCCCGAGAUGAGUUCUCCCUGAGACUUAGAGUCUCCUGAAGGAACGUUGAAGACGACGACGUUGAUAGGCCGGGUGUGUAAGCGCAGCGAUGCGUUGAGCUAACCGGUACUAAUGAACCGUGAGGCUUAACCUUACAACGCCGAAG
rnacentral:rRNA from 1 species